rnacentral:rRNA from 1 species
CCGACGGGAGGCAGCAGGGAGGAAUAUUGGUCAAUGGAAGGAAGGCUGAACCAGCCAUGCCGCGUGCAGGAAGACGGCUCUAUGAGUUGUAAACUGCUUUUGUACAAGGGUAAACCUGAAUACGUGUAUUCAGCUGAAAGUACUGUACGAAUAAGGAUCGGCUAACUCCGUGCCAGCAGCCGCGGUAAUACGGAGGAUCCAAGCGUUAUCCGGAUUUAUUGGGUUUAAAGGGUGCGUAGGCGGAUUGAUAAGUUAGAGGUGAAAUGUCCGAGCUUAACUCGGGAACUGCCUCUAAUACUGUUGAUCUAGAGAGUAGAUGCGGUAGGCGGAAUGUAUGGUGUAGCGGUGAAAUGCUUAGAGAUCAUACAGAACACCGAUUGCGAAGGCAGCUUACCAAUCUAUAUCUGACGUUGAGGCACGAAAGCGUGGGGAGCAAACAGGAUUAGAUACCCCUGUAGUC